UACGGAGGGUGCAAGCGUUAUCCGGAAUCACUGGGUUUAAAAGGGUGCGUAGGCGGUUAUGUAAGUCAGGGGUGAAAUUUUGCAGCUUAACUGUAACAGUGCCGUUGAUACUGUUUGGCUAGGAUUUGGUUGUAGUGUGCGGAAUGUGUGGUGUAGCGGUGAAAUGCUUAGAGAUUAGGAAGAACACCAGUGGCGAAGGCGAUUCUCUGGACUGUAACUGACGCUGAGGCUCGAAAGCGUGGGGAGCAAACAGGAUUAGAUACCCCCGUAGUCCCU
rnacentral:rRNA from 1 species